CAGUGGCAUAGUACCUGACCACUGUGAUUGACCCAAAUUUAAGGAAAUCUUUGACUUGCUAUUGAGAAAGGCCACCGUAGUCUAUGUGCACACAGCCCACAAAAUGAGGUGGAAACUGAGCUGCACUUCCUGACCUGCCAAAUGUAUGACCAUAUUAGAGACACAUAGUGUGCCAUCACAGCAGCAAGAUUUGUGACCCGUUGCCACAAGAAAAAGAUCAACAAGUGAAGAACAAACAGCAUUCAGGUCUCCCAUGAAAAAGUAGUCUUCAAUGGGACAACCAGGUAAUUAAAGCUAAAAUAUUCUGUGCACUCUCACUAGAUAGAAGUGUGUGCUUCAGUGGCAGAUUUUCUAAAAAAAAAAAUAGACAAAGAUAGUUAGUAUCAGCAAUUCUAAGUCAGAUGAGACACCUGGUGUCAUUCAUUUACAGAUGAUACUUAGAUUGAGAAUGAUUUCCAUAUAUUUUAUUGAGCAUGGUGUGCUAUUGUUUUUAAACACACAGCAAACAAAAAGCUGCCACCAUUGUGGGUGCCGUAUAUAUCUUUAUAAGUUAUGCAUACUUCAUGUUAAUAUUCCAUUAUCCGAGGUCCUCCAUUCCUGAACGACAAGCCACCUGACCCUAGCAGGAAAGACCAGAGAUCUGACUUCGAAUUGAGUAAAAUUAAGAUCACUCAAGUUGAUAUUUCGAUUUAGAGUGACUGACAUGAAUUGGAGCAUGAACAGGCUUAGGACACUCAGGUCGAACAACAGAUACGUAAUGCAUUUGUCAACAACGGUUGUGCCAAUUAAUGCAUAUCACAAGGGUUGAGAGGUGUGUACACACUUGCAAUGUAACCUACAUCUGUUGUUAAACUCAUUUUAAAAAAUGAAUGUUUUUUUACCCCCAAUUUCAUGGUAUCCAAUUGGUAGUUACAGUCUUGUCUCAUCGCUGAAACUCCCGUACGGACUCGGGAGAGACAAAGGUCAAGAACCAUGUGUCCUCUGAAAAAAAACGACCCAACCAAGCCGCACUGCUUCUUGACACAAUGCCGGCUUAACCCAGAAACACCAAUGUGUUGAAGGAAACACCGUACACCUGGCGACCGUGUCACCACUGGAGUCGCUAGAGCAAGGACAUCCCUGCCGGCCAAACACUCCGCUAACCCGGAAGAUGCUGGACCAAUUGUGCACCGCC
rnacentral:lncRNA from 1 species